GCACUGCUGACGAGUCCCAAAUAGGACGAAGCAGCUGUCCAGUGC
rnacentral:hammerhead_ribozyme from 1 species